UGGUGGAGUGAUUUGUCUGGUUAAUUCCGUUAACGAACGAGACCUCAACUUAUUAAAUAGUGAUCAUAACUGUCUACCGGGUGAAGCUUGAGAGUAGUGCUGCGGCUCCGGCUGUUGUGCUCUCUUGAGUGGAUCCUUGACACGUUGUCGGUGGCUUCUUAGAGGGACUACUAGGGUCUACCUAGUGGAAGUGAGGCAAUAACA
rnacentral:rRNA from 1 species